CCCCCCAGCCCGCACUCCCCAACCCCCUCUCACUUGCCAACACCCAAAACAAACCAAUGGGCCUCAGCCACUGUCUUGCUUAGCAAACUCCAGUGUCACAUUUCAGGGUGACAGGGAAACGGGUAAGAUAAGGCCUCUUGUGAGACCUGAAGAGCCAGAUGGAAUGUAUGCCCAGAGAAACUCCCGGUGUCAAGAUUGAGCCACAGGAUGAAUCACCUUCUUCCCAGCCCUACCUGCAGUGGUGUGAGCCCAUCACACCAUAGCCAUCCCAGCCUGGGGAAGAUGGAGGAAGAUGGGACAGCCUUGUCCUGACCCCCAAGGGGCCCAGCAGUGCCACCCUCCACGCUCUGGCUGUGUCGGCAUCACCUCCUCUCUGGUCCUGGAGUGAGUGAUUCAGGCUCCUGAUCGCACCUGGGAGAUACCGGGGCUGCCUCUGGAGGCCGCAGCUCGGAUUGGAGGCCGGCCCGGCGGCCUGACCCUGGCGGCACCCUGCCCCGGAGGCCAGUCCCCGCCCCAAACCUUGCACCCUGAUGGAUGAAACCCUGGUCAACACUUAGGACCUUUCUCCAGCAGAUCCAGCCGGAAAGCCACCUCCGCUUAGCGACAGCCAGGCGAGUGUCAAACAGUCCCCGGGCAGCCGAGACUCUCAGGAGCGUCAGACUCUCACCCUGGAGCCCAAGGGCUCCAGCCCGGAGCCAGCCGGGUUGGUCGGGCUACGGCGAUUCCGCAGGACGUCCCCUCGGCCUCGAUCCCUUCGGGCUGGGCCUGCGCGCUCCGGCGACUCUAAGCCCAGACCCACGCGGAGCCCGACCGAAGGUUAGCCCUGGUGCCUCCCAGCCUAGAGUAGCACCCAGCAAACGUCCUGAGCGCGCGGGACUGCCAAGACCUCGCGGCGAGACUUGCGCGCCUGCCUCGGCAGGACAAGCCCAGUGGGGCCGGCGGAGUAGAUUCCAGAAAAACCCGGGGAGAAAAACCGCCUUGCAGCCAGGGCGGUGGACGGCCAGAUGCUCGGGGCCAAGCCCCAUAAGAACGCAGAGCGCGGGUCUGGAUGGAGGGGGCCGGGCGCCCCGAGCGCCUCGAGCCUCCUGAGCCGGCCUCCGUUUCCCCCGGUGGAGACACGGACCACAGGGGCUCGGCCUGGAGUGUCGGAGGAAGCGAAUUACAUGCGUGUGCGCACAUGUCAAUAUUUUAUAAACCUCCCCUUAAUUAACCAGAUCAUUCCCAUUAUGCCUCCAACCCCAUCCACCGCAACGGCGUGAGGGUUUGCAGGCUUUGUAAUUUGAUGCCACCAGAUGGUUGCUGGGGGCAGAGGUGUGAUCGCCCGCGCCAGCUGCACUUGUAUUUAUUUGCUUUUCUCCCGUGUUCCUGUAGGGCGCCAUUAUGCAGUUUUUAAUUAGUUUGUGUUUGUAGCUCACCCGUCCCAAAUCAAUGCCAUCCCGGAGCACGGCGAUGUAAAUGCUCGAAGUACAGGUGUAGCUGCCUGCUCGGGAACACGGGGAAGCGCGUGUCUGACAAAUGAAAGCCGGGCGGACUGUCAGCUCUCGGCAGCCAAGAGGCACAGAUCAAAGCCAUCGGGGGCUCCUGCGCCCUCGGAGCGCCUCCGCGGCGAGGCUCCUAACGCCGUUAGAGGGAGAGGCGGGUGCAGCUCUGAGUGCGGGACAAAGUGACUCUUCACUUGGCUGCAGUCCUGGGCUCCCUGGGCCAGCGCCGGCCUCCCGCGCGCCGUGGGGCCUGGCGGGCGCAGGGCACCCUGAGUCAGGCUCGCGCCCCGGAUGCCCGGGUGGCUGUGGGCGCGCGUGCACGGACCCAGCGCUGGAGAAAGGUCAUUGCCGCUUCCCGCGGGGUUCCGAAACCCUUUCAUAGAACCCACGGCCAACAGCCAGGACUUUGGGAAUCUCCAGACCGGAGAACCCCCACCCCCACUCCCAGGUCCUGCUCGUUUCUCUUCUUGAAAUGACCUCUGUGCAAUGAGUGUGAAUUAGUCUACCCAGCCACCAGGGAAUUCUUUUAAAGAUUUUUUUUUUUUUUUUGGAUCAGGAAUAAGAGAUUGUUCAUCUUUAACUAGACCACAUAGAAAUUAUGAUUCAACAGCAGUGUGUAUUUAAUUAGAGUAAUCUCACUUGAAUUUAAUUACCUAAUGAAUUAUUUGUUUAGAAGGUAGAACGUCUGGUUUGCCAAGUGUGGUGCAGACCUCUGAUAAGAACUUGUGUUAUAAGGACAUUACAGUAUAAAGCAACCAUGUAGUAAGGUUUGUGUUUUAACUCCUUCAGUGUGUGAUGGUUACUGUAGCACUCUACGCGAACCCUGAGAUCAUCUCGGAAGGCUGAGGGGAGGGCAGAAGCUCCUGUUAGCCAAACAGAGGCUUAGUUCUGUUAUGCAGGCAGGGCCUCUUUGAAAUUAAUAUCCUCCAACCCCUUUCCUCAUACACAUCUAUUUUUAAAUGUAUUUUAUUUUUCAAUAGCUUUUUGUGUGUGUGCCAGAUGACAGCUGCCUAUUAUGACUCAUUUUAUGAUUCAUAUUUGCAAUGAAGUAGUACAUCUCCUUCAGGAAAACUCCAGCCCAGCUUCUCUGGGUGCCUGAACCUCCAUACUAGUGACAGGAAGGCUUUCUGAGGUCAUCGAACGUUAGGUGGACUGUGAUCUUAACCCCUAAUUCCUAAAUAAUGGGAGGAUUUCAUCCCCUCUCGUUUCGCAAGAGCAAAUGACUCGAAACUGUGCCACCGUUUCCAGCGGGCUCUGAAGGGGACGUGUCUCCAGCUGAACAUAUAUGAAAUCCACCUGGUUGAUCUGCUGGUAUUUUCAUUCAUGGGUCGUUAACCAAAUAUUUAAUUGUAGAUUUGGGCACUAUUAUCACAUAAUUAAGUAUUAAUAAUACAGUGUUCAACUAAGUAAGAAUAGGCUUAUGAGAAAAAGUAAAAAACUUUGAUAAGAACUAUUAACUUCUUUAGAGCCUCAUGUUUAUCACAGCUGUGCAUUUUAAAACUGAUGCUUUAGCAACUGAUAGUGGUUAUUAAUAAAUUAUAAACUUAAUCAUGUUAAGUUAUGGUUACAGUAGCAUCUUUCUUCCUAAGAAAUAGAUCUACAUGAAUACAUAUUUUAAACUUAGUUAUAAAUUUAUUUCACAUAUUCUUCCAAAUAACAACUGACAAUAACAACCAG
ensembl:lncRNA